rnacentral:rRNA from 1 species
UACGAAUGGGGCAAGCGUUGUUCGGAAUCACUGGGCUUAAAGCGUAUGCAGGUGGACUCACAAGUCAGAAGUGAAAUCCCAGGGCUUAACCCUGGAAUUGCUUUGAAACUGUAAGUCUAGAAUCCCGGAGAGGUUAACAGAAUUCCGAGUGUAGAGGUGAAAUUCGCAGAUAUUCGGAGGAAUACCAGUGGCGUAAGCGGUUAACUGGACGGCAUUGACACUCAGAUACGAAAGCGUGGUAGCAACAGG